CCGCCCCGCCCGCGCGCCUGUUAUUGUUGGGACCGCAGCCGAAGCUGAUGUCGCUUCGGCGGCCGCUAGCUCUGGGCACUGAAUGAUGACUUUAAGGCCACAGAAAUGGAGACAGAGCCAGGUCUUGUGAAUCUCAGGCUGGCAUUCUGCUGACUACAUGGAACUGCACCAGACAGAGGAUUCACCUGUGAACUCUCAGCGUGAUAGAAGCCUUGUUGGAACAGGCAAAACCUGGCCUAUCCUCCCCUCUACUGCUUGAUAACACAGCAUGAAAAGAUGCCAACUAUAAAUACCUAAAGUAAGAGAGAGACAGCACACAAGCAGGGGAAGCAGCAGACAGAGAGAG